AGUAUGCAUACUAUCACAUUAUCAAAAUGGAGGAGUUGGCUCAGACGGAAAGUUCCACCGUGCGUGUGAAAAAAUAGCCCUCCUGAAUUUACAGGUAGUCGGAGGUGCAGGACAGACACGAUCGGGCCGAGGAGACGAACCUUCUAACGUGCCGGUACAGCUACCGCCUCCAACUGGUCGUCAUUGAAGGGGUCAGGGACACCUAUCAUGACUACGCCGUACUCCAGGCCGAGAAAAUGCAGUCUGAAGUUGCAACUAUUCGAGGAAAUUGUAGUCGACUCUGACGAAGAGUAUGAACGCGUAGACUAGGACCUUCCCCAGGCCGACAUACACCUAGUCACCAGAGUCCGCCACGGGCACACAAACCGUCAUUAGUCGCUGUGGAAAAAAACAACGGUCCUUCUCAGGGCCAUACAAAUAUUUUGAAAAGACACCUCCAUUAUGCACGAAACGAGAUUGUUUCAUUUUCUUAUGAUUGUCAGAGGUGCAGGAGAGACACGAUCGGGCCGAGGAGACGAACCUUCUAACGGUACAGCUACCGGCUCCAACUAGCCGUCAAAAUGCAAAGUCUGAAGCUGCAACUAUUCGGAGAAAUUGUAAUCGGCUAUGACGAAGAGUAUGAACCUGUAGACUAGGACUAGGACUUAGCUACGGGGCUGUAGAGACCCUCGGGGACUAACUAAUUCUAUACUAUUCUAUACUUCUUUUACAUAUUGUGGAUGAAAGUGGUAUUUUUCAAGUACGCUUACUAAAAAAAACUCAACAUAAUUUGUGAAUACUUCAUAUUAAAAAACGUGUUCAGUAAAUAUAAAAAACAGUUUGAUUUUGGUUUAUCCAAACAUACAAAUAUUAUAUAUGGUCUACAUUUUCUUUUUCAUGGCAACCAUUAUUACUGCAUUCAAAAUAGGAGAUUUUACUAUAAAAUUUUUAAAAACAAAAAAGUUCUGAAGCCAUGCUACAUUAAUAGAUUGAAACAAGAAUUCAAUAUUCAAGAACCAUGUUUUCCAAAAAUAUAUUUCUCAAAAAUUAUCAAGGCUUUCGAUAAAAAAAAAAAAAAAAUCAGAUUUCACAAUAGAAUACUAAACAAUUUACUUUAGAAUAGAAAUUAUCGUAGUAGAUGGAAGGACAUAUUUAAUGUGUGUCCUCACUGUGAGGAAUGUAUUGAAACAAACAAACACUUACUACAUGAAUGUCAAAAUGUUCAAAGGGUAUGGAAUAUUGUUGGUGAAAUCUUCAAAUUUAAAGUGUCUCGGAAACUGAUUGUUGUAGGAUUACAUAAUGUAGUGAAUGAGAAAACAGCCUUGUUUAACAGCCUUGUAUCAUUUAUAGGUCUUGGAAUUUAUAAAUACAAAAUGUGGUGCAUCAGAUAGACUUUCCUGUCAUGUCAAGAGUUCAUUAAACACAUUUUACUAUGCUCUAAAAAGAUCAAAAUAUAGACAUUGGAAAUUGAACAUAUUCAAAAGAAUUGAGGAAAGAUUUAUAAUUUUAUGUAUCUAAAUAUCUUAUAACAUAUCAUCAAAUCUGCACCUAACAUACGUUACUUAAAAUUGUCCUUUUUUAAAGAUAUACAUGUAUAGAUAUGUUUUGCUGUAGUAUGGAUUGUCAGUAUGUUUCAUAUAAAAGUACUUAGAUUUUCAUUAGUUAUUUGUAUCUCUGCAUACGAUAUUCAUUUAUGUUCAUACAUGAAUGUAAUCAUGUAAUAUACCAUAUAUUUUAUAUGCACCCCCCUUCUUUUUGUAAUGCUCAAAGCCACUAUCAAUAGGGUUCAGCCUUUUGAUAGAGCUGCCUAAUGAGUCAGAUAUGAACUUCAGUGAUGUGACUUGGGCUUAUUAUGGCAGCACAGCGUAUGUAAAAUUUUCAUAUGUACAUGCAUAUUUCACUGCAUAUAUGAAUUAUUUAUAUAGUAUUAUUUAAUUAAUCUAAUAUACCUUUUAUAAAUCGUUAUCAAUAUUUAUGCAUCCUGCGUGAUGUAUUAGGUAUACAUUGAACAUUGUAUUAGAUGGAGCUUAGUCGGGGCCCCAUCCUCGGUAGCUACCAUUUUCUCUAAUUUAAGAAAUAUUUUCUUUGCUAUAGAAUAGGUCUGGGAAAUAAAAUCUAAUUCUUC